rnacentral:lncRNA from 1 species
UUAUGUAGGAUUCAAUCCUUGAUUCAAAUAACCUUUUAUGGUCUUCUGAUUGCCUCUUCUUUCAGCUUCAAAUGAAAGAUGUCAAAUCUCUCAAUAUUUUGGUGGCUUUGUUCUGGGGGCAUAUAUUUAUUAAUCAUAAAAUAGGAACUUUUGCCUGAGAUGAUAUCAUCUCUGGUAAUUUCUUCUGUGGUAAAUAGAGUGAUCUAUUUGAGUUCUGUUAUGUAGGAUUCAGUCCUUGAUUCAAAUAACCUUUUAUGGUCUUCUGAUUGCCUCUUCUUUCAGCUUCAAAUGAAAGAUGUCAAAUCUCUCAAUAUUUUGGUGGCUUUGUUCUGGAGGCAUAUAUUGCAUUCAUCAUUGGUUUAGGAUUUUUUUGUCUUUGGUGAUAAUAUCUUUGGCAAUUCCUUCAAUGGUAAAUUUUAGAAUAGAUAGUCAACAUUCUUAAUCCAGUGCAGAUAAUCUAGAUUCUUACUCAGUGAUUAUAUUUCUAUUGAU